rnacentral:lncRNA from 1 species
CACAAGGGUUGUUUUUACUCCAAAAAAAAUGCUCAUUUCGUUUCCUGUUUGCAGCCGGACAAUAGGAGGAGAUUCAUUGAUCGAUGUGUUUCCUUGUCACCAAACAAUUACGGUUUCGACUCGCCUUUAGGACCAGAUUCAAUAGGGUAAGUUCCUCUUUCUUUUCGUAUCAUCUGUACAUGCGAGAAAAUCAGUCACAGUGAUAUUUAAUUAGGUAGGAGAAUUUUGUUCUGGUGUAAUAGAUUUUGUUUGGAAGAUUAUAACCUUCCAGGCAUGGGAGAUCUCUUUUGUUCGUCUGUAAUACUCUUGACAGUAGCGCUAUCGUUUGUCCAAA